UACAGAGGGUGCGAGCGUUAAUCGGAAUUACUGGCGUAAAGCGCACGUAGGUGGCGACGUAAGUCGGGUGUGAAAGCCCCGGGCUCAACCUGGGAAUUGCAUUCGAGACUGCAUUGCUGGAGUACGGAAGAGGAAGGCGGAAUUCCCGGUGUAGCGGUGAAAUGCGUAGAUAUCGGGAGGAACAUCAGUGGCGAAGGCGGCCUUCUGGUCCAGUACUGACACUCAAGUGCGAAAGCGUGGGGAGCAAACAGG
rnacentral:rRNA from 1 species